CCUGCACGAAUCAGGUGGUGUCCAGCGCGCAGGCGCAUACUUAUUCUCUGCGCGGCGUCCGUUUCUCCAGACUUUCCACUUUUGGCAAGCUAUGUUCCCUGGCUUGUGUCCAGUCUACAAAAGGUCUUAAAACCACGGAGCAGGGCUUUAAGCGUUUAGGAUCUCGCUUUUUGCAGGCUUUUGACAAGAAGGCUCAGAUCUCCACUAACCAGUGGCCACAUUUUACCAUCAUGAUCAUUGAGUAGCUCACAACCAAACCGUUUGCUUUAUCACAGCAAGAAGAGUGAGGAGAGCCAAAAAUGUCACAGAAGAAAGACAACUCAGAACAACCACCCUCAGCCUCCCAAGUCCAGGACACUGGGUCAACGACUCUUCACAACUUCUUCAGGCUGAAUAUGGAUGUUGAGAUAUCUUGAUGGGGGCUAGGGAAAAUGGCCUUAAGAAGGCCACCCAACAAUUGGUGCAGUCUCUGAUGUUUGUCCUGACUGGAUCUGGCCAAAAGUCCCUGAGAUCAGGAGUUCAAGCAGCUUUUACCUGCCCUUCUUGAGACGAAAAAGACGGUCAUUUUGAAAUGAACAGCUGUCACUAUUGUAUGACAACCCAAAUACAUGCAAUGUUCAAUCACACCACUCAGAAGUCUUUGCUGAAAGUCACGGACGGCUUACAUGCUCACAAUAUAAAUAUUUACAGUUCAUUUUGGAAAUUUUUAUAAUCAGCUAUAUUAGUAUGAAAAUGCAUUAACAAAUUUAUAUUUGUAAUAAAAAUUACAAAGUAAUUUUAAAAGGUUUAUCUGUUUUUGUAAGUAUGAAUAUUUUUCCUGCAUGUAGAUAUGUGCACCAGUUGCAUGCCCUGUGCCCUCAGAGGCUCCAAGAGGGUGCCAGACGCAGAGGAACUGCGCUUCUGGAUGGUUGUAAGUUGCCGUGUGUAUACUGGGAUCGAACCUGAGUCCUCUGUAAGAGAACAAGUGUUGUAAACCAUGGAGAUGUCUUUCUAGUUCCCUACAACAUAAUUUUUUUUUUAAGAUUUAUUUAUUUAUUAUAUAUAAGUACACGCUGUAGCUGUCUUCAGAUACACCAGAAGAGGGCAUCGGAUCUCUUUACAGAUGGCUGUGAGCCACCAUGUGGUUGCUGGGAAUUGAACUCAUAACCUCUGGAAGAGCAGUCGGGUGCUCUUAACCGCUGAGCCAUCUCUCCAGCCCCCUACAACAUAAUUUUUAAGUGGGCAAAGGGAAGGAUGUUGUAUCGCAGUGGGAGCCAGGAGCUUACAGUGAGGGGGAAUCUUAAUUACCCAAGGCUUUGUCAGAUUCAUAUGACAAAACAAUUUUGUGCAAUUGUGCAAUUUUGUGCAAUUAAUCCAAAAAAUUAAUACAUUUUAUCUUAAAAUCUCUUUCCAUCCUAAAUUUUCCUCUAUCUGUAUUGCAUAUCUUGUAUAAUGGUAUUACUUGCAUAUCUCUUCCGGGAGAGCGACGUGGGAGUGGCUACGGCAUUUUCAGCAUCUGAUAAGAAAGAGUUAACUCAAAGAUAACAUUUAUUUUUGAGCUUUGUGUUUUGAGGGGGUGUUUGUGUGAGCUGCGGUCACCUCGGUAUAUUGAGGAUAUCGUCGACCAUCCCAGUCGAAGAAAGACUUUCAGAAAUGUAUCUUCGAGCCAUGUGUGGUUGUCUUUCCAGCACUCGGGAGGCUGAGGCAGGAGGGUCGCCAAGAGUUUGAGGUCAGAUUACACUGAGCACCCUGAGUCUAUAUCGAAACCCAAACUGAAUCUUACUGAUAUGGUGGUGUGCCCUUCGAUGCCAGCACUCGGGAGGCUGAGGCAGGAGGAUCUUAAGUUUAAAUUCAACAUAGUUGGCACAGCGAGGUCCCAUCUCAAAACAACAACAACAGCUAAUCACACUUAAAAUACCUCAAAAGAAGCAAUAAGCCUGGUUUAUGUCGCCGAGGAGUUAUUCAUAGUUGGUGGUUUCUGGGGAAGGAAAGACGGUUUUCUUUAAAAGUGUGGCCCUGGUAUGUCAACUUGCUCCAGUGGACGGCCCCACACCCUAGAAUAUCAGAAGUGGAACCCACGGGCUACUAAAAAGAAAACAACAGGACAUAUGGUGGGUAGAAGGCAUGAUAGAUCAGGGCGUUUGAGUGAGGAGUAGAGGAUGAAUAUAAUAAAAAGUAAUAAAAAUACAGAGUGUGCACAUAUUAGAUUCUCAAAAAACAAUACAAAUAUUAUUUUAAGACACACUACCUAGAUUCCAUGGCCAAACCAAGUUGAACAUACAAUUACCCAUUGCCUUGAUUAACACACAUGUCGCAUCCUAGCCAUCUGUCGAAGAUGAAUCUUAUGAGGCUUCAUGCCGAAAUUAAUCAAUAAAGAACCGGGAGAUGAAGACACUUGAUCAGGUGGGAGACGAUUGAACCAGGGCUUGGUUCUAGACACAGAACAUAAAGAGAAUUUGCCAUUUCCCUUUCCCAUGUAGGAUUACCAUGUGCUGACGUCACAGUUCCACAAUGAGCAACACACGAAAACCUAUAGCCCAGAAGGCCCCACCCUCUGUGUGUGCAAAGGGACCUGUGCUAGAAAAUAUGGGAAUUGGGCUGAAGAUAUAACUGAGUGACAGAGUGCUUGCCUAGCGUGCAUGAAGUCUUAGGUUUAAUUCCAAUUUUAGAGGAGGGGAGAGGAGGGGAGGGAAGGAGAGGGAAGGGGAGGGGAGGGGAAGAGAGGAAAGAAAAUCGAAACCAAAUAGUCAAAUUCUGCCAGUGGGAAUGUGUUGGGGUCCAGCUGAUCAAGAAUCCUGGGAAAAUCCAGGCGUCUAUAUCUUAUCUGCUUUUGGUUGUCAAUGAAGCCAACGUGUCUCUUUCUCCUAUGUAAAUGUAUACAAAAGCAAGGACAGUUGUAAUCCUAAUGCUAAAUACAUAGUGGUAAUAAAUUUCAUAUGCAUGAAAAAGGGUAGUGAGAUUUGGGGCUAUUUAAAAAGCCCAAUAGAUUAUUUUGAACCCCAUUUUUCCAAGUCUUUAGAAAAUGCCAAAAAAGCAGUUAUUACAAUCACUCUAGUCUGUUCCCUGAGCGUCCUAUAUUCCUUAGCCCCAUUUUAAACCAGUAGGUGAGAUUUAGAAAAAAGGUCCUGAGAUAGGACUUUGAUAAAUAUUAGUGGGUGAUGAAUUGUAAUUGGCAUCUCUGCAGAAGAUAUUGCAGCCAUCACUCCAAAUCCCAGUGCUGCUAUUUUAAUAACCACGAGCUUGUAGUUUGGGUUCACUCUGACAAACUUUUCUCAUGUGACUCGGGAGUGAGAGAGAUUCUCUAGCCAGCAUUGCCUCCUGCUAGACUUGAUUCCCCCCCCCCCCCAUUUAAGUGACUGUCUACACACCUUUUUCUCCUGUAUUUUAUUUGCUUUCCCAUUUAUGUCCUAAUGACUAAUUCCAAACCACAACUAAUAACCUAAUUCAAACGCCAGUUAAUGUCCAAUCCUUUGAGAAUAAGAGUAACCACCAAAAUUGUAUGAAAACAUUCCAAUUGCGUGCCGGUGGUUUUCAAACCGUUAUCCUUUAAAUCAUCCUUCUUAAGCUGAUAAAGAGUGAAAUUUGGCAUUAGAACUGAUUUUCCAGCCUAUAUAUUUAGAAGUGUAAUUACGUGGGCUGGUAACAUGGCUCAGUGCAUAAAAGUACUUGUUACUAAGUCUGACAACCCAAGUUCAACCCCCAGGACCUACCACAGACAGAAAGAACAAAAUGGACUCCUGCAAGAUGUCCACUAUGGCAUGGUGGACAUCCAAACACACAAUAUACAUACAAAUUAACUAAUUAAUUGGAAUAUUUAGAAAUUUAAUACUAGAAAAUAUUUGCAUAUCCAGUACCCACUGGACGAUAAAAAUGAAUAUCAAUAAAUGAAUAUUAAUUAAAACAUUUAAACUUUAGCAUAAGUUUUGGUGGGUACUAGCUGUCACUAAGUUUUAGACAAGCAUUCUUGUCUGUUGAGAAGAUAAUAAACUAGUGCUUCAACACUGAAGGCAAAGAGCCUUUGGGCAAAAAAAGAAAGACCAAGACAUCUUUUUCACUCAGUAAAAAAACUGUGUGUAAAAAGUAAAAGUCAAAACACAGAUCAAAUGUGCUUGUCCUAUGAUGACGUCCCCUUGUAUGUCCUCCAUCCUCCCGAGGAGACCUCCUGGAACCUGAAUUAUUGGACUGAAUUGUUGGAGUAACUUAUUUCCCUUAAUGUGAGGCUCCAGUUUGUUUUGAGGAAAUAACACGAAUGUAUCAAAGUACAAAAGUGUCAUAUUCAAAGAUGCAUUCCUGGAGACUCAGUAUCCUAUUGCCAAAGCCAAGGGAAGCCAAGCUUUUCUCUUGUAUUAAUUUCUCCUACUCCACAAUAAAAAUAUAUCUCAGUUCCUCAGUUCUGUGGCUGAGCAAGAAGUGAAUCACAUUGGCACAGAACUCAAGUCAUCCUGAUUUUCCUAAACCCUAAGGAAGCAGACACAGCAAGCCUAAGCACUCAUAGACUUAUCCAUCAGAGGGCGCUAGAAGCUAACUUUUUAAAAUAACCAUGCUUGGCGACUAAAGGAAAAGCAAUAGGUGUAAUCUGACUGUGCUUAAUUGUGGUUCAUGUCUAGGAUGUUUACUCUGUAACAGCUGCGUCUGAACGAGAGAGGCCAUUCUGUUUGAAAUUGCCCUGGUGAAUACUAUGCUCUCUUUCUCUCACCACUUCUCCUUUUCUCUCUCCCAUCUUCCCCUCCUCCUCCCCCCCUCCUCCUCCUCCUUCUCCUCCUCCUCCUUCUCCUCCUCCUUCUCUCUCUCUGUCUGUCUCUGUCUCUCUGUCUCUGUCUCUGUCUCUCUCUGUCUCUCUCUCUCUCUCUCUCUCUCUCUCUCUCUCUCUCUCUCUCUCUCUCUCUCUCUCUCCAAGGUUUCUCUUUGUAUCCCUGACUGUGCUAGAACUAACUCUGUAGACCAGUUUGCCCUUGAACUCAGAGGUGGGCCUAUCUCUGCCUCCCAAGUGCUGGGAUUAAAGGCCUGUGCUACCACUGCCCUGUGAUGCUUUUGUUGUUGUUGUUGUUGUUGUUGUUGUUAAUGAAUUAAUUUUAAUAAACUUUUCUUCACUUGAAAAAGUCAGAAAAAAAUCAGAAGAGCUUUCAUUAUUAGGAUCAUUGAUAUGUGUUGCUUUUUAAAUUGCUUAUAAACAUUGUCUAUAAAACUAUGGUGUGCUAAUCAGCUAAGCAAUAAUUUUAAGGAUUUGUGUUUGAAAUGAGCUGUAAUGUGGAAUACGAAGGAGGUCUUAGAACACUCUGUUAUGAAAAGAAAGUUUUCUCAAUGUGUAUUUGUGUGUCUCUGUGUUGGGGGAGGGAGAAGACAGGGAGAGGAAGAGAGACAGAGGGGGGAGGGGGAGGGAGAGGGAGAGAGAGAGAGAGAGAGAGAGGCAGAAGGCAGAAGGAGAGGGAGAGAGUUGAAAGUUUCAGGCACACUUAUGCCACAGCAUACAUUGUGGAGGUCAGAUGACAACUCUCAUGGUUAAGUCUCUCUGCCACCUAGGAGGAUGGGCUUUCAAACUCUGCUUGUCGUGAUUGCGCACAAGCACCUCUACCCACCAAGCCAUCCCACCAGCCCUAUGAACAGAGCUUUUUAAAAAUUGCUUUUUAAGGGGAGGAGGCGGUGGUGGCAGAAAUAUGAUGGCAAAUUACAAUAUAAUUGGGUUUAAAUGAAUUUCUUUAACAAUAAAAGAAAAUGCCAGUAGGAUUGGGGAACUUUUCAGCAAGAAAACGCAGUCCUGGUGGUUACAGCAAAUGGGUGGAGAACAAUCUUCUUCAGAGUUUUCAGUCUCUGCUAACUGUAUCUAGUUAUGUGUGUAUGUAAAUGGGGCUGAUGAGUUACAGUAGACCAUUGUAUCUUGCACUGUUCCUUUCUACACAUAAAAAUGUAACCAGAACACCACACCCCUUGUAAUAGAGAGGUGAGGUAAUAAAGUCCAGAGUCCUUACUGUGAAAAAGCCAAGCAGGUGCAUGGAACUGAAAAUAUUGAACAAACUGCUCAGGGUAGAGCACGGUGUUUACUGCUGCUGCAGAAUCCUCAGAACCUGGAAAUCUUGAAGAGCCUCUUUUUAAUUUCUUCGUCCGUGUAUUAAUUUUCCACUGCUGUAAUACAUUACCUCAACACCUGGUGACUUAAAACAACAAAGAUGAAUUAUCCCAUAGUUUGCUUGGGGUCAGGUAUUCAGGAGAAUCUCAGUGGUGUCUGGCUUAAGGUCUCUUAAGACAUUCAGUACCAUUCAGACGCAGGCAUCUGAAGGCUUGGCUGAGGCUAGGCAACACACCUUCAAGCUUUCCUGGAACACGGGUAUCAGAAGGAGAGCUGAGCUCCUUGCUUCUUGACUUGUAGGGUAGUUUGAAGAGCCCAAUACCAUAGCAACAGGCUGCCCCAGGCAUGAAGGACCAGGGGAGAUAGGGCAGAAGCUGAUAUUGUAUAACUCACCAUUUUCACAAUAUCUGUCUGGCUACCCAGGGUAGCACUUUUUAGUGUUGGAGACUACGUAAGAAGUGUGAACCACUGAGGGACUCCCCCACUACAAAAAAAAAAAAAAACAAACCAAAAAACAAACAAACAAACAAAAAAACCCAAAAAACAAA